rnacentral:rRNA from 1 species
GGCCUUUUGAAUUUAAUAUAAGGUCUGACCUGCCCAGUGAUAAGUUUUAACGGCCGCGGUAUACUGACCGUGCAAAGGUAGCAUAAUCAUUAGUCUUUUAAUAGAGGGCUGGAAUGAAAGGUUUAACGAGGAACUGACUGUCUCAUUUUAUUUGUUUUAAAAUUUAAUUUUUUAGUUAAAAAGCUAAAAUAUUAUUGGUAGACGAGAAGACCCUAUAGAGCUUUACAUUAAUUUAAUUUGAUAUUUUUAUAUUAAUAUUUCUAAUUAAAUUUAUGUUUUGUUGGGGUGACAAAAAUAUAUAAUUAACUAUUUUAUUUAAUUAACAUUGAUUUAUGAAUAUUAGAUCCAUUAUUAUUGAUUAUUAGAUUAAGUUACCUUAGGGAUAACAGCGUAAUCCUCCUCCAGAGUUCAUAUCUACAGGAUGGGCUUGCGACCUCGAUGUUGGAUUAAGAUAAUAGUUAGGUGUAGCCGCUUAAUUAAUAGGUCUGUUCGACCUUUAAAAUCUU